rnacentral:lncRNA from 1 species
GGAAAGUAGGGGAGAGGAGUACGGGAGGGGCGGCCGCUGGGGCCCGCCUGAGCCUGAGCCUUGUUCUCUGGGUUUGGAACCGAUGACCAGGCCUGGAUCUCCCUCGGCCUGGUGGUGAGACCCACCUCCCAGCCUUUAGUGCCCUGGGCUAGCCUUCUGCCUUCUGAGAAACCCCUAUCUCUCCUCUCUCCUUCUCACCAGCAUCGGCAAGAAAAGACGUGGGGAGGCGAGACUUGGCGCGACCUAAGGAUGCAGUUUUUAAGUCAGAGCAGCCCAGCAAUCAAGUAACUUCCGUUUGCACAGCGUUUUGGAGAGCUUUCAACUGGGUGAAAUCCUCGCACAAACCUCAGAGAGGUUCAGAGAGGUUUUGGUUCUUGCCUAGUGAAGAAAAUGAAACCCAGAGAAGAGAAGGGCUCCUUUAAGGUCACGCGGUGAAUUUGUCACAGCCAGAACAAGGACUCAGGCCUCUUCAUGACUGGCAUGGUGGCCUUCCCACUCUAUCAUGGAACCUGGAGAAGUCUGGAAUGAAACAGAAGGAGUCAGAGUGUGACAGUGUCUUCGAGGGAUACCUUCAGAUUGAUGGAGGCAGGAAGACAGAUCAGGACGGGCCUCAUCUCAGAGGCGCAUCUCAUCGGGAUACUUCUUCCAUCCUGGUGCUGGUUCAGCUUUGAUCUGGGAAAAUAAAAUGCCAGGCUGCUGGGUCCCCAGCUGCCAUCUUCUGCAGCAAGAGUGAGACUUCAUGAUCCUGCUGGCUCACGCGCACUUCAUUUCCCGGUAAUUAAACAAGUGGAGAUCAAAGCCGACAAAUCUCCCCCAUCUCUCAGCGCAGUAGAUGAAAGAACAUUUGCAUCACUCGCUGCACUCAGGGAUUUCCCCGGCGGUCCAGUGGUUAAGGUUCCGUGCUUCCAGGUGCCCGGACGAGGGACGGAGCUGGGAGACGGCGUCCGGAGCGGCUCGCUGGCUCGCGUUGGCACCCGUCGCAUCUGGGGCUUUCCGGAGCCGGCUGAGCCCGAGGAAAGGUGGUGAGGUCUCCGACUGACGGCGGACGUGGCGGCUCAGUCCCAUGAGGUCAGUCACCGUUACUCUCAACGGCGCCGUUUUGCCCAAACCAGUGAAAGGUCCUUCUCCCUGCUCCGUGUGUUCUCCCUGUGAUCCCCGUUCUCUCUGUCGGGAUGCUCAUCAGCAAGAACUUUGCUGCCCUGCUUGAGGAGCAUGAUAUUUUUGUUCCAGGGGAUGAUGGUGAUGACUAACAGGGCAUGGAGGAAGUGUAGAAAGGAGAAAGUCCUGACUCAGGAAAUGGUGAUGCUCGCACCCUCUCCUCCUUCCCUGUCAGCACGUGGGAAAGCACCAGGGAAAACCCGCAGCCUCCCAACCCUAGUGAAGCCUCCUGCAUGGUCUGUGACCGUAGCUCAGAUCCCCAGGCUCCGGGAGGCUCCUGGAGAUGUGCUGCCCACCGAGCAUAAUCAAAUUAUGAAUAAACAUAAUAAAUACC